CCUACAGGUGUUUCAGGCAUCUAGCCUCCAAAACUUUGAGAGAAUAAAUUUCUGUUGAUUUAAGCCACUAGGCUUGUAGUUUUACAGCAGCCUUAGGAAAGAGAGGAGAAAAAAUAGUGUUGUUUCAUAUUGAUGGAAAGAAUUCAUUUGAAAAGAAAAUAAAAAGGAUGUAUGAGAAAGAAGAUUACAUUACUUGAAUUUUAUUUAUUUAUUCAUGAGAGACAGAGAGAGAGAGAGAGACGCAGAGAG